rnacentral:rRNA from 1 species
UACGAAGGGUGGCUAGCGUUGCUCGGAAUCACUGGGCGUAAAGGGUGCGUAGGCGGGUCUUUAAGUCAGGGGUGAAAUCCUGGAGCUCAACUCCAGAACUGCCUUUGAUACUGAAGAUCUUGAGUUCGGGAGAGGUGAGUGGAACUGCGAGUGUAGAGGUGAAAUUCGUAGAUAUUCGCAAGAACACCAGUGGCGAAGGCGGCUCACUGGCCCGAUACCUGACGCUGAGGCGCGAAAGCGUGGGGAGCAAACAGGG